CCUGCUGUGUUCAUCCAGCCCUGCACCUUGUUGUCUCGGAUUCUCCAGCAUCUGCAGUUCCUACUAUCUCUGACAAACAAUCAACAUAGUUUUGGUUUCCUGAGAGUGUGAGGAUCUGGAAUUGGUGUCAGGAAAUUGCGAGCUUGAGCUGAGGGGACAGAGUGGUUGCAGAUUGAGGGAAAUCUCAGGGGUCAUGGUCCCUUCAAACAGUCUGAAAUUAAACCAGUCAGUUCACAGCCUAGGAUUCAGCUUUGCCCACAGCACCAUUACUAAGACCAGCUAUCUCUACAUCGUCACAUCACCUGACUUUGAACCCCAUCUGGGUUGUUCGGCUACUGAAACCUUCAUUCAGCCCAUUGUUACCUCCGCACUUGACUAUCCAGCACACUCCUAGCUGGUCUCCCAUGUUCUCCCUUCCGCAAACUUGGGAUCAUUCAAACCUCUACUGCCUGUGUCUGACCUUACAGGGAUUGUCCUUGCUGUUCCACCUCAUGCACUCACUGACAUAUGCUUGCUCCCGGUUGCACAGCCUGUUGAUUUAAAUAUUAUCAUCUUGCUUUCAAAUCCCUUCGGGGCCCAGGCUGGCUUUAUCUCUGUAACCUGCUGUCACCCCUCAGUCUCCCCAAAGUCCUGCGUCAUUUUGACGGGUCUGUUCCCAAUUUUAAUUACUUUGCCCCAAAUUCUGGAGUUCCGUCCCACUCCCGCUUCUCUUCAAACCAAGACCCCCCCCCCCCCCCACUUUGACCGUCUGUUCUCUGGUGGUCCACCUUCAAAGCUUCUGAUCUGUGAUGUUCCUGGGAAGUGGGGGUGGGGACGUGAUUGGGUUAAUGGCAUUAUUGAAAUACAAGUUGUUGUUUUGAUUGUUGCUCCUUGCCUCCUUGUUGUGUAAUGCUGACCAACUGAUUUCUCAUUUCUUUUCCCAGUGGAGUGUUCAUUGUGAUAUAUUUUGUCCUGAUCUGUUGUGAAGGACCCAGGAGGAAAUUUCCCUGGAAUAUGAUCCUCUUGGCUAUUUUUACCUUAGCUAUGUCAUAUCUGACUGGAACAAUUGCAAGGUAAGCGCAGUUUUACUGAAUGUACGACAGUGUGUGAACGCCUACGAUUGUGUGUGGGUGCAUUGGAGUGCAUUUGACUGUGGGAGUGUGUGGAGUGAGUGUGCACGUGUGUGGGUGCGUAUGACUGUGAGAGAGUGUGCGUGAUUGUGUGUGUGUCUGUAAGUGUAUGUGUAUGUGUGAUGCCUUCCAGAAGUGAAUAUCUUACAAAGUCUGGUGUAAGUGUUAAGGUGGAUGGGUUCCACAAGUGCAAGAUCCUCAGUGCAGAGCUGCAGCCUGAUUCUCUGGUGCCCGUUGUCCCCGAUCCCACCAAACAACCUUCGCCUCACACCCCAAUCUUAACGGGAUAAAUGUGGAGGUGCUGGUGUUGGACUGGGGUAGACAAGGUCAGAAAUCACACAACACCAGGUUAU